AUACGGAGGAUCCGAGCGUUAUCCGGAUUUAUUGGGUUUAAAGGGAGCGUAGGUGGACAUGUAAGUCAGUUGUGAAAGUUUGCGGCUCAACCGUAAAAUUGCAGUUGAUACUGUGUGUCUUGAGUACAGUAGAGGUGGGCGGAAUUCGUGGUGUAGCGGUGAAAUGCUUAGAUAUCACGAAGAACUCCGAUUGCGAAGGCAGCUCUCUGGACUGUUACUGACACUGAGGCUCGAAAGUGUGGGUAUCAAACAGGAUUAGAUACCCUGGUAGUCCACACAGUAAACGAUGAAUACUCGCUGUUUGCGAUAUACGGCAAGCGGCCAAGCGAAAGCAUUAAGUAUUCCACCUGGGGAGUACGCCGGCAACGGUGAAACUCAAAUGAAUUGACGGGG
rnacentral:rRNA from 1 species